rnacentral:rRNA from 1 species
UACGGGGGGAGCAAGCGUUGUUCGGAUUUACUGGGCGUAAAGGGCGCGUAGGCGGCCACCGCAAGUCAAUUGUGAAAUCUCCGAGCUUAACUCGGAAAGGUCAACUGAAACUGUGCGACUAGAGUGCGGAAGGGGCAACUGGAAUUCUUGGUGUAGCGGUGAAAUGCGUAGAUAUCAAGAGGAACACCUGCGGCGAAGGCGGGUUGCUGGGCCGACACUGACGCUGAAGCGCGAAAGCCAGGGGAGCGAACGGG